UAGAGUUUGAUCCUGGCUCAGGAUGAACGCUAGCGACAGGCUUAACACAUGCAAGUCGAGGGGCAGCGAGGGCGUAGCAAUACGCCUGUCGGCGACCGGCGCACUGGUGAGUAACACGUAUGCGACCUGCCCCACGGUAAGGGAUAACCCGCGGAAACGCGGCCUAAUACCUUAUGGUCUCCGAGAAUGGCAUCUGCCUCGGAGUAAAGAUUUAUUGCCGUGGGAUGGGGAUGCGUCUGAUUAGCUUGUUGGCGGGGUAACGGCCCACCAAGGCUACGAUCAGUAGGGGUUCUGAGAGGAAAGCCCCCCACAUUGGAACUGAGACACGGUCCAAACUCCUACGGGAGGCAGCAGUGAGGAAUAUUGGUCAAUGGGCGAGAGCCUGAACCAGCCAAGUAGCGUGCAGGAUGACGGCCCUAUGGGUUGUAAACUGCUUUUAUACGGGGAUAAAACGUGGGACGUGUCCCGCCUUGCAGGUACCGUAUGAAUAAGGACCGGCUAAUUCCGUGCCAGCAGCCGCGGUAAUACGGAAGGUCCGGGCGUUAUCCGGAUUUAUUGGGUUUAAAGGGAGCGUAGGCCGGAGAUUAAGCGUGUUGUGAAAUGUAGAUGCUCAACAUCUGCACUGCAGCGCGAACUGGUUUCCUUGAGUACGCACAAAGUGGGCGGAAUUCGUGGUGUAGCGGUGAAAUGCUUAGAUAUCACGAAGAACUCCGAUUGCGAAGGCAGCUCACUGGAGCGCAACUGACGCUGAAGCUCGAAAGUGCGGGUAUCGAACAGGAUUAGAUACCCUGGUAGUCCGCACGGUAAACGAUGGAUGCCCGCUGUUGGUCUGAAUAGGUCAGCGGCCAAGCGAAAGCAUUAAGCAUCCCACCUGGGGAGUACGCCGGCAACGGUGAAACUCAAAGGAAUUGACGGGGGCCCGCACAAGCGGAGGAACAUGUGGUUUAAUUCGAUGAUACGCGAGGAACCUUACCCGGGCUUGAAUUGCAUACGAAGGCGUCUGGAGACAGAUGCCGCCGCAAGGCGUAUGUGAAGGUGCUGCAUGGUUGUCGUCAGCUCGUGCCGUGAGGUGUCGGCUCAAGUGCCAUAACGAGCGCAACCCCCAUUUCCAGUUGCCAUCUGUGCAAUAGCAGGGCACCCUGGAGAGACUGCCGUCGUAAGAUGUGAGGAAGGCGGGGAUGACGUCAAAUCAGCACGGCCCUUACGUCCGGGGCUACACACGUGUUACAAUGGUCGGUACAGAGGGCAGCCAUCGCGCAAGCGUGAGCCAAUCCUCAAAGCCGUCCCUAGUUCGGACCGGGGUCUGCAACCCGACCCCGCGAAGCUGGAUUCGCUAGUAAUCGCGCAUCAGCCAUGGCGCGGUGAAUACGUUCCCGGGCCUUGCACACACCGCCCGUCA
rnacentral:rRNA from 1 species